GAAUGGCUCAUUAAAUCAGUUAUGGUUUACCUGACAGUAUUUAACAUGGAUAACUGUGGUAAUUCUAGAGCUAAUACAUGCAGCAAGCCUUCACCCCUUGUGGGCAAAGGCGCAUUUAUUAUUUCAAAAACCAAUCGGUUGUAUUUUCGGAUAUAACCGUUAGCUUGGUGAGACUGAGUAACCACAGCAAAUCGUAUGGCCUUGUGCUCGACGAUCUGUCAGUCAAGCAACUGCCUUAUCAGCUUGUUGUUAGGUUAUAUGCCUAACAAGGCUUCAACGGGUAACGAACGAUCGGGGUCGGAUAUCGGAGAGGGAGCUUGAGAAACGGCUACCACUUCCAAGGAAGGCAGCAGGCGCGCAAAUUACCCACUCUCGGCAUGAGGAGGUAGCAAUAAAAUGUAUCGAUGCGGGGCCAUUAGUGCCUUCGUAAUCGGAAUGAGUACACUUUAAAUCCUAUAACAAGGACCUAUUGGAGGGCAAGUCUGGUGCCAGCAGCCGCGGUAAUUCCAGCUCCAAUAGCGUAUAUUAAUGCUGCUGCGGUUAAAAAGCUCGUAGUCGGAUCUGGGUUACCGGCGGGCAACUCAUGUUGUUUCAUACAACAUGUUGUUUGCUAUACGUGUCGCUUCGGCGGCGCUGCCAGUAUAGUGCUGUCUCUUUGUAGGCACGCUAUAUCGGUCGCCGGAACCACGGGCCGGGUUGGGCAGCAUGCUCUUCAUUGAGUGUGUUGUUCACUCGGUGCGUUUACUUUGAAAAAAUUGGAGUGCUCAAAGCAAGCGUACAGUCGCUAUGCGGCUUGGACAGUGGUGCAUGGAAUAAUGAAAUAGGGCCUCGGUUCUAUUUUGUUGGUUUUAAGAUAUCGAGGUAAUGAUUAAGAGGGACAGACGGGGACGUUUGUAUUGCGACGUUAGAGGUGAAAUUCUUGGAUCGUCGCAAGACACACUAAUGCGAAAGCAUUCGUCUAGAAUGUUUUCA
rnacentral:rRNA from 1 species